UCCUUCCCUUGUAUUACCCAGGUAUCCCCCUUUCCUUCCCUUGUAUUACCCAGGUAUCCCCCUUUCCUUCCCUUGUAUUACCCAGGUAUCCCCCCUUUCCUUCCCUUGUAUUACCCAGGUAUCCCCCUUUCCUUCCCUUGUAUUACCCAGGUAUCCCCCCUUUCCUUCCCUUGUAUUACCCAGGUAUCCCCCUUUCCUUCCCUUGUAUUACCCAGGUAUCCCCCUUUCCUUCCCUUGUAUUACCCAGGUAUCCCCCUUUCCUUCCCUUGUAUUACCCAGGUAUCCCCCUUUCCUUCCCUUGUAUUACCCAGGUAUCCCCCUUUCCUUCCCUUGUAUUACCCAGGUAUCCCCCUUUCCUUCCCUUGUAUUACCCAGGUAUCCCCCUUUCCUUCCCUUGUAUUACCCAGGUAUCCCCCCUUUCCUUCCCUUGUAUUACCCAGGUAUCCCCCUUUCCUUCCCUUGUAUUACCCAGGUAUCCCCCCUUUCCUUCCCUUGUAUUACCCAGGUAUCCCCCUUUCCUUCCCUUGUAUUACCCAGGUAUCCCCCCUUUCCUUCCCUUGUAUUACCCAGGUAUCCCCCCUUUCCUUCCCUUGUAUUACCCAGGUAUCCCCCCUUUCCUUCCCUUGUAUUACCCAGGUAU